UACGGAGGGGGCUAGCGUUGUUCGGAAUUACUGGGCGUAAAGCGCACGUAGGCGGCUUUGCAAGUUAGAGGUGAAAAGCCCGGGGCUCAACUCCGGAAUUGCCUUUAAAACUGCAUCGCUAGAAUUGUGGAGAGGUAAGUGGAAUUCCGAGUGUAGAGGUGAAAUUCGUAGAUAUUCGGAAGAACACCAGUGGCGAAGGCGGCUCACUGGCCCGAUACUGACGCUGAGGCACGAAAGCGUGGGGAUCAAACAGG
rnacentral:rRNA from 1 species